AACGAACGCUGGCGGCAUGCCUAACACAUGCAAGUCGAACGAGACCUCCGGGUCUAGUGGCGCACGGGUGCGUAACGCGUGGGGACCUGCCCUUAGGUUUGGCUUAACUCCCGGAAUGGGGUGCUAAUACUGGCUCAUGUACUCGGUCCAUAGUAUUAUCGACUUUGGAUGGGCCCGCGAAGGAUGAGCUAGUUGGUAGGGUAAAAGCCCACCAAGGCGACGAUGGGUAGCUGGUCUGAGAGGAUGAUAAGACACACUGGGACUGAGACAGGGUCCAGACUCCUACGGGAGGCAGCAGUGGGGAAGAUUGGACAAUGGGCGCAAGCCUGAUCCAGCCAUGCCGCGUGUGUGAAGAAGGCCUUCGGGUUGUAAAGCACUUUUGUCCGGAAAGAAAUCCAUGGAGCUAAUACCUUCGGGGGAUGACGGUACCGGAAGAAUAAGCACCGGCUAACUUCGUG
rnacentral:rRNA from 1 species